rnacentral:rRNA from 1 species
UCCGGCUAACUCCGUGCCAGCAGCCGCGGUAAUACGGAGGGGGCAAGCGUUGCUCGGAAUUACUGGGCGUAAAGCGCGCGUAGGCGGUGCACAUAGUCAGGCGUGAAAGCCCCGGGCUUAACCCGGGAACUGCGUUUGAUACUGGUGUGCUAGAAUCCGAAAGAGGGCAGUGGAAUUCCCAGUGUAGAGGUGAAAUUCGUAGAUAUUGGGAAGAACACCAGAGGCGAAGGCGGCUGCCUGGUUCGGUAUUGACGCUGAGGUGCGAAAGCGUGGGGAGCGAACAGGAUUAGAUACCCUGGUAGUCCACGCCGUAAACGAUGAGUGCUAGUUGUUGGGCAGCAUGCUGCUCGGUGACGCCGCUAACGCUUUAAGCACUCCGCCUGGGGAGUACGGUCGCAAGAUUAAAACUCAAAGGAAUUGACGGGGGCCCGCACAAGCGGUGGAGCAUGUGGUUUAAUUUCGAUGCAACGCGAAGAACCUUACCAGCCCUUGACAUAGUCGGUCGCGAUUACCAGAGAUGGUUUUCUUCAGUUCGGCUGGACCGUUUACAGGUGCUGCAUGGCUGUCGUCAGCUCGUGUCGUGAGAUGUUGGGUUAAGUCCCGCAACGAGCGCAACCCUCGCUAUCAGUUGCCAGCAUUUAGUUGGGUACUCUGAUGGAACUGCCGGUGAUAAGCCGGAGGAAGGUGGGGAUGACGUCAAGUCCUCAUGGCCCUUACGGGCUGGGCUACACACGUGCUACAAUGGCGGUGACAAUGGGUCGCGAACCUGCGAGGGUGAGCUAAUCCCUAAAAACCGUCUCAGUUCGGAUUGUACUCUGCAACUCGGGUGCAUGAAGUUGGAAUCGCUAGUAAUCGCGGAUCAGCGUGCCGCGGUGAAUACGUUCUCGGGCCUUGUACACACCGCCCGUCACACCAUGGGAGUUGGAUUUACCUUAAGCCGGUGCGCUAACUUUUGAGGCAGCCGACCACGGUAAGUUCAGCGACUGGGGUGAAGUCG